GUGUGUGUGUGCGUGCGUUUGUCUGUCUGUCUGAGUGAGUGAGUGAGUGAGUGUUUGUAUGUGUGCGUGUGUGUUUACCUGCCUGAUUGUGUGUGAGUAAGGAGCAGAAGGACAGAAGAAUAUAACAAAUAUUUUUAAAAGCAGAAGGUGAAAGAAGAAGAAACUUUGUAUCUUUCUUUGUGGUCUAAAAGGUUGAUUAUACAGGCCCAGAAGUUACCAGGCUUCUGUUCCUUCUACGAAUCAUGGUGUGAAGAGGAAGGAAGUCUUUCAAUGCUGUUUGGUUUCUGUUGAGGUCACUGCAUAAACUGGAACCAAAGACUAGAAGUCAGAGCAGCUUCCUCCUCUACACUAACUUGUAUUGCUAUGGUUAAUGAAUCUUAUUUAUAGAGUUUUGCUUGCAUGUCGUUUUUAAUUGUUUAUUUGUUUCUUCAUUCUGGUGUGUUUAAAUAUCUCCCAGAACAACAUAGUGAGAGAGGAGAGGACUCACUAUGAAUAGAUCAGCAGAAAGAUGAUUUCUAGCUUUCUUUCUAUCAGUACCAGACGCUCCAAAGACCCCCUCAGUGACCGUGAGUCCCUCUGGUGAAAUAGAGGAGGGCAGUAGAGUGACUCUGAGCUGCAGCAGUGAUGCCAACCCAGCAGCUGAGUACACCUGGUUCAAGGACAACCAACCUCUGCUCUGGGGACCAAGUCAACCUCAUACCUUCCCCUCAGUCCGCCCUGAAGACAGAGGAACGUACCGCUGUCACGCAAGGAACCGAUAUGGACAACUGAGCUCUAACUCGCUGAGCUGAGCUGCAGCAGUGAUGCCAACCCAGUAGCUACCUACACCUGGUUCAGGGUUACUAGAGCUUAUCCCUCCAGAGAGAUGAAGGAAGGAGAACAGCUCGUCUUUAGCUACGUCCUGUCUUCAGAAUCUGGACAGUAUCGCUGUGAAGCUACGAAUAAGCGGGGGAAAAAAUCAGUCACCUACUCUAUUAAUGUCAAUUAUGGGCCUAAACACACAUCUGUGUAUUGAAGUCCC
ensembl:lncRNA